rnacentral:rRNA from 1 species
UGAGGAAUAUUGGUCAAUGGACGCAAGUCUGAACCAGCCAAGUAGCGUGCAGGAUGACGGCCCUAUGGGUUGUAAACUGCUUUUAUAUGGGGAUAAAGUGGGGAACGUGUUCCCUUCUGCAGGUACCAUAUGAAUAAGGACCGACUAAUUCCGUGCCAGCAGCCGCGGUAAUACGGAAGGUUCGGGCGUUAUCCGGAUUUAUUGGGUUUAAAGGGAGCGUAGGCCGUUUGGUAAGCGUGUUGUGAAAUGUAGGAGCUCAACUUCUAGAUUGCAGCGCGAGAUGUCAGACUGGAGUGCGCAAAGCGUAGGCGGAAUUCAUGGUGUUGCAGUGGAAUGCUUAGAUAUCAUGAAGAACUCCGAUUGCGGAGGCAGCUUACGGGGGCGCAAAUGACGCUGAAGCUGGAAGAUGGGGGUAUCGAACAGG